GACGAACGCUGGCGGCGUGCCUAAUACAUGCAAGUAGAACGCUGAAGAGAGGAGCUUGCUCUUCUUGGAUGAGUUGCGAACGGGUGAGUAACGCGUAGGUAACCUGCCUUGUAGCGGGGGAUAACUAUUGGAAACGAUAGCUAAUACCGCAUAACAAUGGAUGACACAUGUCAUUUAUUUGAAAGGGGCAAUUGCUCCACUACAAGAUGGACCUGCGUUGUAUUAGCUAGUAGGUGAGGUAAUGGCUCACCUAGGCGACGAUACAUAGCCGACCUGAGAGGGUGAUCGGCCACACUGGGACUGAGACACGGCCCAGACUCCUACGGGAGGCAGCAGUAGGGAAUCUUCGGCAAUGGGGGCAACCCUGACCGAGCAACGCCGCGUGAGUGAAGAAGGUUUUCGGAUCGUAAAGCUCUGUUGUAAGUCAAGAACAGGUGUGAGAGUGGAAAGUUCACACUGUGACGGUAGCUUACCAGAAAGGGACGGCUAACUACGUGCCAGCAGCCGCGGUAAUACGUAGGUCCCGAGCGUUGUCCGGAUUUAUUGGGCGUAAAGCGAGCGCAGGCGGUUUGAUAAGUCUGAAGUUAAAGGCUGUGGCUCAACCAUAGUUCGCUUUGGAAACUGUCAAACUUGAGUGCAGAAGGGGAGAGUGGAAUUCCAUGUGUAGCGGUGAAAUGCGUAGAUAUAUGGAGGAACACCGGUGGCGAAAGCGGCUCUCUGGUCUGUAACUGACGCUGAGGCUCGAAAGCGUGGGGAGCGAACAGGAUUAGAUACCCUGGUAGUCCACGCCGUAAACGAUGAGUGCUAGGUGUUGGAUCCUUUCCGGGAUUCAGUGCCGCAGCUAACGCAUUAAGCACUCCGCCUGGGGAGUACGACCGCAAGGUUGAAACUCAAAGGAAUUGACGGGGGCCCGCACAAGCGGUGGAGCAUGUGGUUUAAUUCGAAGCAACGCGAAGAACCUUACCAGGUCUUGACAUCCCGAUGCUAUUUCUAGAGAUAGAAAGUUACUUCGGUACAUCGGUGACAGGUGGUGCAUGGUUGUCGUCAGCUCGUGUCGUGAGAUGUUGGGUUAAGUCCCGCAACGAGCGCAACCCCUAUUGUUAGUUGCCAUCAUUCAGUUGGGCACUCUAGCGAGACUGCCGGUAAUAAACCGGAGGAAGGUGGGGAUGACGUCAAAUCAUCAUGCCCCUUAUGACCUGGGCUACACACGUGCUACAAUGGUUGGUACAACGAGUUGCGAGUCGGUGACGGCGAGCUAAUCUCUUAAAGCCAAUCUCAGUUCGGAUUGUAGGCUGCAACUCGCCUACAUGAAGUCGGAAUCGCUAGUAAUCGCGGAUCAGCACGCCGCGGUGAAUACGUUCCCGGGCCU
rnacentral:rRNA from 1 species